UACAGAGGUCUCAAGCGUUGUUCGGAUUCAUUGGGCGUAAAGGGUGCGUAGGUGGCUGCGUAAGUCGGGUGUGAAAUCCCGGGGCUCAACCCCGGAACUGCACUCGAUACUGCGUGGCUUGAGUACUGGAGAGGAGAUUGGAAUUUACGGUGUAGCAGUGAAAUGCGUAGAUAUCGUAAGGAAGACCAGUGGCGAAGGCGGAUCUCUGGACAGUUACUGACGCUGAGGCACGAAGGCCAGGGGAGCAAACGGG
rnacentral:rRNA from 1 species